rnacentral:rRNA from 1 species
UCCGAACAGAGCAGUUAAGCCCGCCCGAGCCGAUGGUAUUGCCGUAACAGGUGGGAGAGUAGGUCGGUGCCUUCU